rnacentral:rRNA from 1 species
GAUGAACGCUGGCGGCGUGCCUACUACAUGCAAGUCGAGCGAAGCGGGGACGGGUGAGUAACACGUGGAUAACCUCCUAUAAGACUGGGAUAACGUCGGGAAACCGGAGCUAAACCGGAUAAUUAUAGAUGGAUAGGCGCUGCAUUAGCUAGUUGGUAAUGUAACGGCUUACCACGGCAACGAUGCAUAGCCGACCUGAGAGGGUGAUCGGCCACCCUGGAACUGAGACACGGUCCAGUCUCCUACGGGAGGCAGCAGUAGGGAAUCUUCCGCAAUGGGCGAAAGCCUGACGGAGCAAUGCCGCGUGAGUGAUGAAGUUCUUCGGAUCGUAAAACUCUGUUAUUAGGGAAGCGGUCCCUUCUCAGACUUCCACGGCUAACUACGUGCCAGCAGCCGCGGUACUUC